rnacentral:ncRNA from 1 species
UGUAUCACCUCGGGGUGCUAUCCGGCUGAGACGCGUCGCGCGAACCCGUAGAACCUGAUCCGGUCAGCACCGGCGGAGGGAAGGUCCGACGCUGUUGC